rnacentral:rRNA from 1 species
GACAGAGGUGCCGAGCGUUAGGCGGAAUCACUGGGCUUAAAGCGUGUGUAGGCGGGCCGUUAAGUAUCUUGUGAAAUCCCCCGGCUCAACCGGGGAAUGGCUGGAUAUACUGGCGGUCUUGAGCGAUCUAGGGGCAGAUGGAACAAGUGGUGGAGCGGUGAAAUGCGUAGAUAUCACUUGGAACGCCAAUGGUGAAAACAGGUAGCUGGGGAUGUGCUGACGCUGAGACACGAAAGCCAGGGGAGCGAACGGG